rnacentral:lncRNA from 1 species
CGGGGCGAAGCUAGAGGCUUUAUAGGGUACCGGGGAAGCCAAAUCCUGCAUAAAUGGGGAUUGGGAAGGAUUUGGUAGUGAUUUCUAGUCGGUCACGCUUGGAAGGAAGAUGAACAGGGCGCUGACUUGCGAGCCCAUGCUGUCAGAGAGAGAGAGAGGCGGGGUCUAGAUGUCAGCCAAGGAGGAGAGAGGAGAAGUGGGGUGCAUGCGCCUGGCCUACUAGGGUGCCCACUAGGCCACGCGUGCGGACUGCGCGCAGGGGGAGGAAACUGGGCCGCAGGGGAAACAAGCCAGGGGCUGGUUGGGGUUUAUCUUUUUCUUUUUUUCUUCUCUUUUCUUUUCCCAAACAUUUUCCAAAUAGCAUUUUGCACACAAAUAAUUUCAAGCCAAAGGCAAUCAACAUUAAAUAAAAUAUGCUCCAGCAUGAAUGCAUAAACAAGUUCCUAACCCUUAUGAUAAUUUUUAAUUCCAACAAAAAUUAUUUAUUUACCAGGUUGAAUGCUCACAAAAUGCUUAAAUAAAUGCAAUUAAAUCCUAUUAUUUUAAAAACAGAUUUUUGGGUGUUACAUAGUUCAAAUUCAUCUAGAUCUAGUCUAUCUAGAUGUAGCAAUAUAUAGGUGAGACUAGUUCUUCUAGAUCUAGUCUUGUUUAGAGAUUACAGAGAUUAAGUAGAGGAGUAGAGAUUCUGGAGGAGUUCCGGCCUGUCCGUGCUUCUUUGUGGCUGUCCGCACAUCUUAAUAAUUCGACUUCUAGUGACCCUCUCACCUGUCUCCAAUAUUUUGACCGGAUACUGUUCAUAAGUGAGAUCACCUUUAACAGAAAGCUCUUCUAAUGGUAUUUGCUCCUCAGGUACACGUAAACACGUCUUAAGUUGUGACACAUGGAACAUUUCAUGCACACCAGAUAAACUUUCAGGCAACUCUAACUGGUAAGGGAACUCACAAUGCGGACUCUAUCAUAGAGUCUAAAGUUAUUUAUUACCUCAAACAAUGUGGACUUAGAGUCUAAAUAAGACUUGAAGUCUUAUUUUUUCUACCUCUUUCUUUAAUAAAUAUGCUGCCACAUCAGCAAAAUACUAUAAAUAAUAUAUAAUUAAUUGUCUUAGACUCUG